rnacentral:ncRNA from 1 species
UGUUCGUGAUAAAGAUUAUUGAAAUGAUCUCAAUGAUAUUUUGCAGGAAUUCAUUAUAUUUGCUUCAUAAACUGGCAGUCUUUGUCAUAAGGUUGUCUGAGCAAAUCCAAAUACUGAUUUUCAUCAAUUUUAGCUGAUUUUUAAUAAAUAUGAGAAAAACCUAACCAAUAAUAAGCACUUUCAUUAGACACAUAUCGAAUCUCAUGUACGUAUUAUGUGGCGGGUCUGUAAAACUUUGCCUAUCAGUUGUCGAUGGUAGGUUACAUACCUAUCAUGGUCACAGCAGUAAUAGGAAAUCAAUGUUCAGUUCCAUAGAGGGAGCCCAAGAAAUGGCUACCACAUCCAAGGAAGGCAGCAAGUGCACAAAUUACCUAUUCUCAGAAUGAGGAGGUAGUGACAAAAAAAUAACCAUAUGAGACUCUUUUGAGACCCCGUAACUAAAAUGAACACACUCUAAAUCCCUUAACGGGGAUCAGUCAGAAGGUAAGUCUGGUGUUAGGAGAUGUGGUAAUUCCAGCUCCAAUAGCA